rnacentral:tRNA from 5 species
GCGGACGUAGCUCAGUUGGUAGAGCACGACCUUGCCAAGGUCGAUGUCGAGGGUUCGAGUCCCUUCGUCCGCU